rnacentral:lncRNA from 1 species
AGGUGGCUCCAGGCCUUGACGUCCCCUUGGGUCCAGGUGGCUCCAGGCCUUGACGUCCCCAUGGGUCCAGGUGGCCCCGGGUCUCGGUGUCCCCCCGGGUCUAGGCGGUGCAGGCGGGCGGGGGGCUGGCGCGGGGUGACGCCGGGGGGCUGGUGGCCCCCUGCGUGUCCCCGUCCUCGCAGUCCGCCAGCGGCUCCUGCCGCGGCCCGCCGCCCCCCGAGCCUUCGGCCUCCUCGUCCUCGUCCUCCUCCUCAUCCUCCUCCUCGUCCUCGGGGCUGGGCGGCUCCGGGGCGCCUGCGGGGACCCGGGCUCAGCGGACGUGUCCCCUCGUGUCCCCCCCCCGCUGCCAGCUCCUGUCCCUAUGUGUGUCCCCCCCACCGUGUCCCCGUGUCCCCCAUGCCCCCAUUCCCAGGUGUCCCCAUGUCCCUGUGUCCCCAUGUCCCCAUGUCCCUGUGUUCCCAUGUCCCCGUGCCCCCAUGUCCCCCAUGCCCCCAUUCCCAGGUGUCCCCAUGUCCCUGUGUUCCCAUGUCCCCAUUCCCAGGUGUCCCUGUGUCCCCAUGUCCCCAUGCCCAGGUGUCCCCCCGCCCCGUCCCCUCGCCAUGCAGGGCCACCGUGUGUCCCCAUUCGCCCGCCGGGCGCAGUCCCCGUGUCCCCCCAGUGCCACCCAGGGUCCCCGUGUCCCCAUGCAAUGUCGGAUCCUGGCAUCCCUGUCCCAUGCAGCGUCCCUGUGUCCCCCCCAUGUCCCUGUGUCCCUGUGCACUCACUGGAUCCCAGCAUCCCCGUGCCACGCAGUGUCCCUAUGUCCCCCCAUGUCCCCUGUGUCCCCAUGUCCCCCUACACUCACCGGGUUCCGGCAUCCCUGCACCACGCAGUGUCCCCAUGUCCCUGUGCCACGCGGUGUCCCUCCACCAUGCAGCGUCCCUGUGUCCCCCCACGUCCCCAUGUCCCCAUGCACUCACCAGGUCCCAGCAUCCCUGUGCCACGCAGUGUCCCCAUGUCCCUGUGCCACACAGUGUCCCUGCACCAUGCAGUGUCCCCACGUCCCCCCCAUGUCCCUGCGUCCCCACGUCCCUGUGCACUCAUUGGGUCCCAGUGUCCCUGUGCCAUGCAGUGUCCCUGCGCCAUGCAGCAUCUCCGCAUCCCCCCAUGUCCCUGCGUCCCUGAGUCCCUGUGCGCUCACUGGGUCCUGGCAUCCCUGCACCACGCAGUGUCCCCAUGUCCCCCCAUGUCCCUGCGUCCCCGUGUCCCCGUCUAGUCACUGGGUCCCGGCAUCCCUGUGCCACGCAGUGUCCCCAUGUCCCUGUGCCAUGCAGUGUCCCUGCACCAUGCAGCGUCCCUGUGCCAUGCAGUGUCCCCAUGUCCCCCCGCGUCCCCCUGCACUCACCGGGUCCUGGCAUCCCUGCGCCAUGCAGGGUCCCCACGUCCCCCCGCGUCCCCCCGCGUCCCCCCGCACUCACCGGGCGGCGGCGGGCGGCAGGCGCGCAGCAGGGCCCCCCGCGC